CUGCGCGCGAUUGCAACAAGUCUAGCUUAGAGCUUUAGGGAAGUUGGUGCAAAUCCAACACUGCCCCCGCAACGGUAAAAUGAACCGCAUAUUAUUUAAGUUUUAACUUACGCCACUGCAUAAAGUGUGGGAAGGCGAAUAUGCCAAUAUUGCAAAGCAAUAUUUAUAUUUGAGUCCGGAGACCUGCUUGUUGCGCCUGUCAACU
rnacentral:ncRNA from 2 species